rnacentral:rRNA from 1 species
UUAAGCGACUAAGCGUACACGGUGGAUGCCCUGGCAGUCAGAGGCGAUGAAGGACGUGCUAAUCUGCGAAAAGCGCCGGCGAGGUGAUAUGAACCUUUGACCCGGCGAUGUCCGAAUGGGGAAACCCAGUGCAAUUCGUUGCACUAUCGUUAACUGAAUACAUAGGUUAACGAGGCGAACCGGGGGAACUGAAACAUCUAAGUACCCCGAGGAAAAGAAAUCAACCGAGAUUCCCCCAGUAGCGGCGAGCGAACGGGGAGCAGCCCGGAGUCUGAAUCAGCUUGUGUGUUAGUGGAACGGUCUGGAAAGUCCGACGGUACAGGGUGAUAGUCCCGUACACGAAAGGGCACACAUAAUGAUGACGAGUAGGGCGAGGCACGAGAAACUUUGUCUGAAUAUGGGGGGACCAUCCUCCAAGGCUAAAUACUCCUGACUGACCGAUAGUGAACCAGUACCGUGAGGGAAAGGCGAAAAGAACCCCGGCGAGGGGAGUGAAAAAGAACCUGAAACCGUGUACGUACAAGCAGUGGGAGCCUCUUUAUGGGGUGACUGCGUACCUUUUGUAUAAUGGGUCAGCGACUUAUAUUCUGUAGCAAGGUUAACCGUAUAGGGGAGCCGAAGGGAAACCGAGUCUUAACUGGGCGUUAAGUUGCAGGGUAUAGACCCGAAACCCGGUGAUCUAGCCAUGGGCAGGUUGAAGGUUGGGUAACACUAACUGGAGGACCGAACCGACUAAUGUUGAAAAAUUAGCGGAUGACCUGUGGCUGGGGGUGAAAGGCCAAUCAAACCGGGAGAUAGCUGGUUCUCCCCGAAAGCUAUUUAGGUAGCGCCUCGUGAACUCAUCUUCGGGGGUAGAGCACUGUUUCGGCUAGGGGGCCAUCCCGGCUUACCAACCCGAUGCAAACUACGAAUACCGAAGAAUGUUAUCACGGGAGACACACGGCGGGUGCUAACGUCCGUCGUGAAGAGGGAAACAACCCAGACCGCCAGCUAAGGUCCCAAAGUCAUGGUUAAGUGGGAAACGAUGUGGGAAGGCACAGACAGCCAGGAUGUUGGCUUAGAAGCAGCCAUCAUUUAAAGAAAGCGUAAUAGCUCACUGGUCGAGUCGGCCUGCGCGGAAGAUGUAACGGGGCUAAACCAUGCACCGAAGCUGCGGCAGCGACGCUUAUGCGUUGUUGGGUAGGGGAGCGUUCUGUAAGCCGUUGAAGGUGUGCUGUGAGGCAUGCUGGAGGUAUCAGAAGUGCGAAUGCUGACAUAAGUAACGAUAAAGCGGGUGAAAAGCCCGCUCGCCGGAAGACCAAGGGUUCCUGUCCAACGUUAAUCGGGGCAGGGUGAGUCGACCCCUAAGGCGAGGCCGAAAGGCGUAGUCGAUGGGAAACAGGUUAAUAUUCCUGUACUUGGUGUUACUGCGAAGGGGGGACGGAGAAGGCUAUGUCAGCCGGGCGACGGUUGUCCCGGUUUAAGCAUGUAGGCGGAGGUUCCAGGUAAAUCCGGUACCUUUUAACGCUGAGGUGUGAUGACGAGGCACUACGGUGCUGAAGUAACAAAUGCCCUGCUUCCAGGAAAAGCCUCUAAGCAUCAGGUAACACGAAAUCGUACCCCAAACCGACACAGGUGGUCAGGUAGAGAAUACCAAGGCGCUUGAGAGAACUCGGGUGAAGGAACUAGGCAAAAUGGUGCCGUAACUUCGGGAGAAGGCACGCUGAUAUGUAGGUGAAGUCCCUGCGGACGGAGCUGAAAUCAGUCGAAGAUACCAGCUGGCUGCAACUGUUUAUUAAAAACACAGCACUGUGCAAACACGAAAGUGGACGUAUACGGUGUGACGCCUGCCCGGUGCCGGAAGGUUAAUUGAUGGGGUUAGCGGCAACGCGAAGCUCUUGAUCGAAGCCCCGGUAAACGGCGGCCGUAACUAUAACGGUCCUAAGGUAGCGAAAUUCCUUGUCGGGUAAGUUCCGACCUGCACGAAUGGCGUAAUGAUGGCCAGGCUGUCUCCACCCGAGACUCAGUGAAAUUGAACUCGCUGUGAAGAUGCAGUGUACCCGCGGCAAGACGGAAAGACCCCGUGAACCUUUACUAUAGCUUGACACUGAACACUGGUCCUUGAUGUGUAGGAUAGGUGGGAGGCUUUGAAGCGUGGACGCCAGUCUGCGUGGAGCCA